CGGGUGAGUAACGCGUAGGCAAUCUGCCCUAAAGUGGGGAAUAACGUCGGGAAACCGGUGCUAAUACCGCAUGAUAUUCUUUGAUCGCAUGGUCGAAGAAUUAAAGAUUUAUCGCUUUGGGAUGAGCCUGCGUCCUAUUAGCUUGUUGGUAAGGUAACGGCUUACCAAGGCAACGAUGGGUAGCUGGUCUGAGAGGAUGAUCAGCCACACUGGCACUGAGACACGGGCCAG
rnacentral:rRNA from 1 species